rnacentral:lncRNA from 1 species
UUCCUUGGAGGCAGAAAUGCUCAUGCUCUCCCAGUUUACUUGGAUGCAAUUUUACUUAAGAUCCUCUCAAGACCUUCUGAGCCUGUUUGAGCCUUGAAGGGCAUGCACAGUCGAGCCAUGAGUAUUUCUUUACUGGGAGAGCUGCCACAUUUCAGUGGGAAGGUUACCUUCCUGUGUGGAAGGGAGAGAAUAGUGUUGUGAAGGAAUCCCUGGCUUUAAUUGCAUCCUCUGUCAUUCUGCCUGGAAGGAUGUUUAAUGGGGGUUGCUCUGUCCUGCGUUUGUUUGCAGGUGUGACUGGUGCAGGUGAUCCAGGAUCCGCUUUGAGCUCUGGGACCGAAACUCUGGCAGAAGGCAUGGGUAAGUCAUGGCUUUGUAAUUCCUGCAAGAGCUUUCAGUGCCAUUUCAUGGCACGAUUCCCUCUAAUGCUCUCCUCUUCAGUGAUGCUGUGGGGUAUGAGUGAAACUUUUCAUGGGUCUUUGGUUGCAGAAGUGCCCCCGUGGCUGUCUUUGCCCAGUCGUUCAUUUCCUCCUGUGCUGGAGCCCAGCUGGAAUCCCAGCAGUCAGGAAAGAGGAAAGGAUGAACCUAAAGGAGGAAGAAACUCCCAGGCUCUUCCCAUCUCCUAAAGGAACUGCUGAAGAAAUGGAGAAGGCAGCGUGUGGUAGGCAUACUUCAGUCUGUUCACCGUGAGACAUGGGAAGCUGAGGUCUGAUGUUCAUGUGUGGACAAGCCGUAGCCUGCACAGCAGGAAGGGGUCACUCAGAGCCGUGCUGCGGUGGUUCCAUGUAACGCCUGGCAGGCACCCAAGUAUUUGACAGACUGUACAUCCUUAUCACCGACUACUGGGAGACGCUGCUGGGGUACAACAGAUGUGAGAUGAGGCUGACAGAGCCGUGCCUCAGUCCAACACUCACAACAGCACAGACUGGGUGCCGUGGAAUGGCACCAGAGGGACGAGCCCAGCUCCCGUGCCAUCUACACCAGGGCAGGAGGGAAGAUCCAGCACUGCCAAAUAUGGCAAGAGGGUCACGUUUCAUAAGGCACUUGACCAAGUGCACAUUGUUCAAGUUCAUCACCUGCAAUAAAAGGUCUUUUUUUGUUCUGCA